rnacentral:rRNA from 1 species
CCUACGGGGCGCUGCAGUGAGGAAUAUUGGUCAAUGGGCUUACGCCUGAACCAGCCAAGUCGCGUGAGGGAAGACUGCCCUAUGGGUUGUAAACCUCUUUUGUCAGGGAGCAACGCCGGCUACGUGUAGCCGGACUGAGAGUACCUGAAGAAAAAGCAUCGGCUAACUCCGUGCCAGCAGCCGCGGUAAUACGUAGGGGGCAAGCGUUAUCCGGAUUUACUGGGUGUAAAGGGAGCGUAGACGGCAGUGCAAGUCUGGAGUGAAAGGCGGGGGCUCAACCCCCGGACUGCUCUGGAAACUGUACGGCUGGAGUGCAGGAGAGGUAAGUGGAAUUCCUAGUGUAGCGGUGAAAUGCGUAGAUAUUAGGAGGAACACCAGUGGCGAAGGCGGCUUACUGGACUGUAACUGACGUUGAGGCUCGAAAGCGUGGGGAGCAAACAGGAUUAGAUACCCCAGUAGUC